CUUGCCAGAGGAACUCUCCAUUGUGGAAACUCAGCACCCUUGGGCUUUGUGUUUGAUGGGGCGAUGUGUGUAUCUGUAUCCGCUUCUGCGAAGCGAAGUCUGCCCAGGCCCCUUUUCCCUGGCAGGAACUCUGCAUAGUGAGGGACUAAAGGCGUUGGCAUCACCAAAGCUCUAUGCAAAUCACUUUGAUUAAACAUCACUUCCUCCUCAGUUUCAGCAGCUUCGGUAAGGAAUGGUGGUGGGAGAGUGCUGCUGCGCUUGCUGCAGGACUCACAGCACAGCUUGUUGUAGCCAGGGAUGGAACAGUAACGUGCAAGCACUUCCAUCUGACAGAAGAUAGAUUUGUCUCCCAUACAGGGCUCAUCAUUACAGGGAGGGAG
rnacentral:lncRNA from 1 species